UACGGAGGGUGCGAGCGUUGUUCGGAAUCACUGGGCGUAAAGCGCGUGUAGGCGGUCUGCUAAGUCUGAUGUGAAAGCCCGGGGCUCACCCUCGGAAGUGCAUUGGAAACUGGCAGACUGGAGUCCCGGAGAGGAGGGUGGAAUUCCUGGUGUAGCGGUGAAAUGCGUAGAUAUCAGGAGGAACACCGGUGGCGAAGGCGGCCCUCUGGACGGUGACUGACGCUGAGACGCGAAAGCGUGGGGAGCAAACAGG
rnacentral:rRNA from 1 species